rnacentral:miRNA from 1 species
UCACAGGUGAGCUAGAAAGUAU